rnacentral:rRNA from 1 species
CGGCGGACGGGUGAGUAACGCGUGGAUAACCUGCCUUACACAGGGGGAUAACAGUUAGAAAUGACUGCUAAUACCGCAUAAGCGCACGGUACCGCAUGGUACAGUGUGAAAAACUCCGGUGGUGUGAGAUGGAUCCGCGUCUGAUUAGGUAGUUGGUGAGGUAACGGCCCACCAAGCCGACGAUCAGUAGCCGACCUGAGAGGGUGACCGGCCACAUUGGGACUGAGACACGGCCCAA